UACAGGGGGGGCGAGCGUUGUUCGGAAUUACUGGGCGUAAAGGGUUUGUAGGUGGCUUGCUCAGUCAGACGUGAAAUCCCUCAGCUUAACUGGGGAACUGCGUCUGAUACUAGCGAGCUUGAGUGCAGGAGAGGAACGCGGAAUUCCAGGUGUAGCGGUGAAAUGCGUAGAGAUCAUGAGGAAGACCAGUGGCGAAGGCGGGUCUCUGGACAGUUCCUGACACUGAGACACGAAGGCCAGGGGAGCAAACGGG
rnacentral:rRNA from 1 species